rnacentral:rRNA from 1 species
GUGGGGAAUAUUGCGCAAUGGGGGAAACCCUGACGCAGCAACGCCGCGUGAGCGAUGAAGGUUUUCGGAUCGUAAAGCUCUGUCUUUGGGGAAGAUAAUGACGGUACCCAAGGAGGAAGCUCCGGCUAACUACGUGCCAGCAGCCGCGGUAAUACGUAGGGAGCAAGCGUUGUCCGGAUUCACUGGGCGUAAAGAGCACGUAGGCGGUUAAUUAAGUCAGGUGUGAAAGUUUUCGGCUCAACCGGAAAAGUGCACUUGAAACUGGAUAACUUGAGUAUCGGAGAGGUAAGCGGAAUUCCUAGUGUAGCGGUGAAAUGCGUAGAGAUUAGGAAGAACACCGGUGGCGAAGGCGGCUUACUGGACGAUAACUGACGCUGAGGUGCGAAAGCGUGGGGAGCGAACAGGAUUAGAUACCCCAGUAGUCC